rnacentral:lncRNA from 1 species
AACCUUGUCCUUUGCUCUCUCUCUGUGAAAGCCCAAGAGCCUGGGGCCUCAAGUUUGAAGCCGGCUUCCUGCCUCCUGGGGAUUUAAAAGGAAUCAAAAGUGCCUCAAACCAAUACAUCUGCUUGGUUUAUAGCUCACAUUUAAACCACAAAUUAUAAAAUGAUAAAUCGCUGUUCGAAUCUCUUCCAGGAAAGACUAUGUUGUCAAGAUUAAGUUACAACCUCAUGGACAUAUGAGUGAGUUUUGGUGCUGACUAACUCUCACUCAUCUUCCUGCUGGAGAUGUUUUUUCUUCGUGAACUUUCACUGUUUCUGAAUACUUUAAACAGAGAAAAUCACCGAAGGCAGGGAAAAACGUCGGGGACUUCUUAACCCAUGGAGCCUUUCACGGGCUUGAUUAUGUAACGGCUGCUUUCGUUUUGUGAGAACCAAAGGAAGUUGAAGAAACAUCUUUCUUCUUGAGCCCUUAACUGCCAGAGAACAGCGAGAAAUGGCUUCACGUGGGCAGCCGCACUCAGAGCUCUGCUUGGAACGUGAAGGGUGUGGUAAAUCAAAGCUGCUGUAAGGAAUUUGGGUCUUAACGUAUCUGUUCAGUGACUUGCGCAGGAUUGCAACAUGAAUUACUGUAUUUCGUCCCCAUGAAAGUCAAUUCCUUGGAAUUCUCUCACAGGGCCUAGUCUAGCGGACAGAGGACUGUGACAAGUAAUUAGGCCACAUGCGUGCCUUCCUGUAACGAUGCUCCUCCUCUCUGCCAGCGCUUUGGCAGGCAGAGGGAGACAUGAAAUACUUGAUUGAGGCGCCUACCUGGCCCGGCUGUGGGUCUGUCACACUGACCUCAUUUUGAUUACCUGAGGCUGCAGCAAGGAAGUCAACCAUCCAUGGUGUUUCUCAGGCACGGUGCCUUGGUUAUACAACUAUGACCCGGUUUCUCCAAGGCCACUCAGGUCCUGAGGGCCGUCAGACCUUAGGCCAACUUGGUGAGCCUGCUUCUGUGCAAAAUCCUGGAUGAUUGAGACUGGCAAUUGCUCCACACUGACGAGAAGAUGCUUUUCCCACGCC